UGUUUCUUCUCACAGGAAGCACUGCUGGUCUCUGUGCAAAGGAAUUUUGGACUCAAGGCCUACCGUGUAAAAAAGAUGCUGAAAAUGAGAUUACCAGAAUGUGAUCUGGCUUUUGUGAUUGGAGUUUGCAGAAGAGAAACUCUGUAACAAGAGCUAGAAGCUACAAACUGAAAAUACAGGAGUUCAACAUGAAGACAAGGAAUGCUUUUCUUGCUUUUUUUUUUUUUAAUAGACAUGUAUUAAUCAUUGGAACAGCCUCCCAGAGGAUGCAGUGGAUCUUUAUGGACUUCAAAUCUUUAAAUGUAGACAAAUUAUUACUUUGAAUAUAGCUGGGCUAUGUAUGUUCAAGUUUUAAGGCAAAAUGAGGGAACGCUGGAUGAGAUCUCCUGUCUGUGAUAGAGAUGAAAUGAGGAGUUAAUUUCUAAGUGUCACAGUAGCCCUAAACUGUGAGUCUCUCAGUCUGCUGUUAGAUUUAAGUACUACUAAUGAAAUUUUAUGGAUGCCUUUU
rnacentral:lncRNA from 7 species